AAAAUCAGAUACAUUUUUAGCGUAUUCAAUAUGUUUAAGAUGAUGAGGCUUAUACAUAAGCGGAAUGUCAAGUAUCAUUGUAGAGAUAGUGUUGUGACGACAUCUAGUUUGUUAUCUGGAGUUGAAGCCAUGUGAAGUGCAUUUUUUCUGUAUUUCAAAACAAAAUUAAACUCUAUGAUUUUUUGAACUUGGCAGACCCCAAAAUCUAAGCAGGCAAGCAACAACUGCAAAAAUAUAAACACAUUGUGUGCUUAACGUGAGGGCAAUUGUAAUGACUGAACUGCAAAUUUGCAACGCUUGCAACGUAGCGAGCUUACUUAUACAUACGCAACAGAAGACCAUCGACAACCGCUAGUUGUUUACAUAAAUCUUAGGCACCAGCAUUGGAGUCUGCUCGACUUAAUUCUUAUCAAUAUGCAUGCCGCCCAUUCUUGUGAUUCUCAUUCACAGCGUUGGUGGUGAGCAACACUCUUAUACUUUGCUUUGCUGUUUUGCCACACGGACUGCCCACGCGACAGCAAUGUAUGAGUACUAGCUUUAGAGUGAAUUUCAUGAUGUUGCAGCCAGCGAGUUCGGAAAACCAUUUCGAUUCAUUUUCCUUUUGUUUUCGCAGUUGGUGGCAAAUGCGUCAUGUGUUAUGCUGGUGCUAUGGUAGUACGGUGCGGUAGCCUCUAAGUCUUCGUGCUUGGCAUUGGCGUCAUCAGGCUCGAAGUGUGAGUCUCACAUGUUGUGUAUUAAAUAUGUAAAACAGCACUAAACGAAGAAAUAAAUCGACUAAAUUACACCCUAUACUUCACUUAAUUUACUGUCGUAGCA